UUUGUGAAUAUAUUUAUUGGAAAUGCUUUUUCUUCUUGGGUCAUACAUAAUGGAAGUAAUCUCAGAUUCACUGAGAGCCUGGUACUGAAAAUGCCAAUGAUCCAAAACAAUACUUUAGGCCCAUUAAAAUUAGGUGCAGUGUGACAUCAUAUAUUAUUUUCCCACAUGGGUCAUAGUUGCGAUGUAGAACAAGAAGAAUCCAAAACAAGUUCUCAUAACUUUUAUUAAUCAUAAUAAUAAGCUCCUAAUAAAUACCUAGACAUAGGUAUUUUUACUUUAUCAACUAAUCCUUAUCCUAAUUAAUUAGGACUACUAAAUCAAAGCAAACUAGGAAUAUAAAACCGAUCCUAACUAGGAAAUUCUAACUCUAAUAGAAUAAUUAUAUAAUAAAUUUUAAGCCUAAUAGGAUUCUUAAAUAAUAAAAAUCUAAA
rnacentral:misc_RNA from 1 species